rnacentral:rRNA from 1 species
GGAAUUUUGGACAAUGGGCGCAAGCCUGAUCCAGCAAUGCCGCGUGAGUGAAGAAGGCCUUCGGGUUGUAAAGCUCUUUUGUCAGGGAAGAAACGGUGGGAGCUAAUAUCUCCUGCUAAUGACGGUACCUGAAGAAUAAGCACCGGCUAACUACGUGCCAGCAGCCGCGGUAAUACGUAGGGUGCAAGCGUUAAUCGGAAUUACUGGGCGUAAAGCGUGCGCAGGCGGUUUUGUAAGUCUGAUGUGAAAUCCCCGGGCUCAACCUGGGAAUUGCAUUGGAGACUGCAAGGCUAGAAUCUGGCAGAGGGGGGUAGAAUUCCACGUGUAGCAGUGAAAUGCGUAGAGAUGUGGAGGAAUACCGAUGGCGAAGGCAGCCCCCUGGGAUAACACUGACGCUCAUGCACGAAAGCGUGGGGAGCAAACAGGAUUAGAUACCCCAG